rnacentral:rRNA from 1 species
GACGAACGCUGGCGGCGCGCCUAACACAUGCAAGUCGAACGAGCGAGAGAGAGCUUGCUUUCUCGAGCGAGUGGCGAACGGGUGAGUAACGCGUGAGGAACCUGCCUCAAAGAGGGGGACAACAGUUGGAAACGACUGCUAAUACCGCAUAAGCCCACGGUGCCGCAUGGCACAGAGGGAAAAGGAGCAAUCCGCUUUGAGAUGGCCUCGCGUCCGAUUAGCUAGUUGGUGAGGUAAUGGCCCACCAAGGCGACGAUCGGUAGCCGGACUGAGAGGUUGAACGGCCACAUUGGGACUGAGACACGGCCCAGACUCCUACGGGAAGCAGCAGUGGGGAAUAUUGCACAAUGGGGGAAACCCUGAUGUAGCGACGCCGCGUGGAGGAAGAAGGUCUUCGGAUUGUAAACUCCUGUUGUUGGGGAAGAUAAUGACGGUACCCAACAAGGAAGUGACGGCUAACUACGUG